GACGAACGCUGGCGGCGUGCCUAAUACAUGCAAGUAGAACGCUGAAGAGAGGAGCUUGCUCUUCUUGGAUGAGUUGCGAACGGGUGAGUAACGCGUAGGUAACCUGCCUUGUAGCGGGGGAUAACUAUUGGAAACGAUAGCUAAUACCGCAUAACAAUAGGUGACACAUGUCAUUUAUUUGAAAGGGGCAAUUGCUCCACUACAAGAUGGACCUGCGUUGUAUUAGCUAGUAGGUGAGGUAACGGCUCACCUAGGCGACGAUACAUAGCCGACCUGAGAGGGUGAUCGGCCACACUGGGACUGAGACACGGCCCAGACUCCUACGGGAGGCAGCAGUAGGGAAUCUUCGGCAAUGGGGGCAACCCUGACCGAGCAACGCCGCGUGAGUGAAGAAGGUGUUCGGAUCGUAAAGCUCUGUUGUAAGUCAAGAACGAGUGUGAGAGUGGAAAGUUCACACUGUGACGGUAGCUUACCAGAAAGGGACGGCUAACUACGU
rnacentral:rRNA from 1 species